AGUGAACGCUGGCGGUAGGCCUAACACAUGCAAGUCGAACGGUACCACAGUAAGAGCUUGCUCUUACGGGUGGCGAGUGUCGGACGGGUGAGGUAUAUAUCGGAAUCCACUUUUUCGUGGGGGCUAACGUAGGGAAACUUCCGCUGACACCGCAUUCGACCUACGUGUGUAAGCAGGGGAUUGUUGGACCUUGUGCUAGUGAAUGAGCCGAUGUAGGAUUAGCUAGUUGGCGCGGCAAAGGCCCACCAAGGCCACAAUCGGUAUCUGGUCUGAGAGGAUCAUCAGGCACACUGGAACUGAGACACGGUCCAGACUCCUACGGUGGGCAGCAGUGGGGACUAUUGGACGAUGCGCGCAAGCCUGAUCCAGCCCUACCGCGUGGAUGAAGAAGGACUUCGGGUUGUAAAGCCCUUUUGUUGGGAAAGAAAAGCAGCAGGUUAAUACCCCGCUGUUCUGACGGUACCCAAAGAAUAAGCACCGGCUAACUUCGUG
rnacentral:rRNA from 1 species